GUACAGCGGCGCACGGGUGAGUAACACGUAGGUAAUCUGCUCCGAGUGGGGGAUAACCUUCCGAAAGGAGGGCUAAUACCGCAUAAGACACGCCUUCGAGAGGGGGAGAGGUCAAAGCCGGCCACUAUACAUAAGCUGGCGCUUGGAGAUGAGCCUGCGGCCCAUCAGCUAGUUGGUAGGGUAAUGGCCUACCAAGGCAAAGACGGGUAGCUGGUCUGAGAGGAUGAUCAGCCACACUGGAACUGAGACACGGUCCAGACUCCUACGGGAGGCAGCAGUGGGGAAUCUUGCGCAAUGGGCGAAAGCCUGACGCAGCGACGCCGCGUGGGUGAUGAAGGCCUUCGGGUUGUAAAGCCCUGUGGAGGGGGAAGAAUAAGGGCAGCCUAAUACGCUGACCGAUGACGGUACCCCUUUAGCAAGCACCGGUUAACUCUGUGCCAGCAGCCGCGGUAAGACAGAGGGUGCAACGUUGUUCGGGAAUUACUGGGGCGUAAAAGCGCGUGUAGGCGGUUGGCAAAGGUUCGGGGUGUGGAAAGCCCUGGGGUUCAAACCUAAGGAGUGGCACUCGGAAAUGGUUCCGGUUUGGAGUUGGGUCGGAAA
rnacentral:rRNA from 1 species